UUCACUCCUGUAAAGUUAUAGAAAAUGUCAAUCAACCCAGAAGGUUCCUCAUGCUUCUUCCAGAUCUGUUUGGAGGCAUACUGCCCCUCCCAUCCCAGCAACCAGGCAACACUGAUUAGCUUUGCUCCAGACUUUCCUGCAGUUGGAGUUGUAGGGUGCUCGUGGGACAGAGCCAUCCCUGGAGUAGUGUUUUGAAGAGUCUGUGUCCUCCAGACCCCGGGAACAACGUUCUGCAGAUGCCCCCCUGGGUGAAGGAUAAAGACAGGUUCUCACUGAGUUGCUUAGCACCUCGCUGUUGCUGAGGCUGGCUUUGAACUCCUGAUCCUCCUGCCUCAAUCUCCCUAGCUGAUGGGAUUACAGGUGUGUGCCACCACACCCAGCAAACUUAACAUGCAGCUAAGAAGACAAAAUUGGAAAAAGGUGCAGCUGCUCCCCCUGGAACCCUGUGGCCUCCUGUUCAAAGCUCCUGCUUGCCAGCCGGGGAAACAAGACUAAGGGUGGAAAAGCUAUUUGCUGGAAUCCUUCAAUGGGAAGAGAAGCAAGGAGGACACUUCAAACAGAACCCGGCUG